UACGGGGGGAGCAAGCGUUGUUCGGAUUUACUGGGCGUAAAGGGCGCGUAGGCGGCCACCGCAAGUCGACUGUGAAAUCUCCGGGCUUAACCCGGAAAGGUCCGCCGAUACUGCGGGGCUAGAGUGCAGAAGGGGCAACUGGAAUUCUCGGUGUAGCGGUGAAAUGCGUAGAUAUCGAGAGGAACACCUGCGGCGAAGGCGGGUUGCUGGGCUGACACUGACGCUGAUGCGCGAAAGCUAGGGGAGCGAACGGGAUUAGAAACCCCAGUAGUCC
rnacentral:rRNA from 1 species